CCUUCCUUUCUCUUUUUACUCUGUGACUCGAAGAGGCUUGGUUUCGGCGAAUAAGUUCCGAUUUUAUAAUAAUUCGUGAAAUAUAAAUGAGUGUGUGAAUUAUUACUUAAUUUUAUGUGUAUAUUUUAAACUAAACAAAGAAAAUAUGUUAGUUCUCUUUGAAACUCCGGCGGGAUACGCAAUAUUUAAGUUACUCGAUGAAAAGAAAUUAACAGAAACAGAAAAUUUGUUUCUAGAUUUUGAAACACCAGAAGCAGCAAACAAAAUUGUCAAAUUAAAACAUUUUGAAAAAUUUGAGGAUACUACAGAAGCUCUUGCUGCUACAACAGCUGCUGUAGAGGGAAAACUUUCUAAAUCUUUAAAAAGAACCCUUAAGAAACAUUUUUCAGAGCUUCAAGAAGAAUUAGCAGUGGCUGAUGCUAAAUUAGGGAAUGCAAUAAAAGAUAAACUUAGUUUAUCUUGUGUGAGCAAUACAGCAAUACAAGAACUAAUGAGAUGCAUUCGAAGUCAGGCAGAUGGAUUAUUAGCUGGUUUGCCCAAGAAAGAAAUGACAGCCAUGGCCUUGGGUUUAGCUCAUAGUCUUUCUAGAUAUAAGUUAAAAUUUUCACCUGAUAAAAUAGAUACCAUGAUAGUACAAGCGGUUUGUUUACUAGAUGAUUUAGAUAAAGAAUUAAAUAACUAUGUAAUGCGUUGCCGUGAAUGGUAUGGCUGGCAUUUCCCAGAACUUGGUAAAAUUAUAACAGACAAUAUUGCAUUUGUACGAAGCGUGAAAAUAAUUGGAACAAGAGAGAAUACAAUAAAUACAGAUUUAUCUGAUAUUUUGCCUGAGGAUAUCGAAGAGAAAGUUAAAGAAGCUGCUGAGAUAUCAAUGGGAACUGAAAUUUCAGAAGAUGAUAUCUUGAAUAUUCAACAUUUGUGUGAUCAAGUCAUAGAAAUUUCACAGUACAGAGCACAAUUAUAUGAUUAUCUUAAAACCAGAAUGAUGGCAAUGGCACCUAAUUUGACUAUUCUAGUUGGAGAACUAGUGGGUGCUCGUUUAAUUUCACAUGCAGGUUCUCUUAUCAAUCUUGCUAAACAUCCUGCUUCCACUGUACAAAUUCUUGGUGCAGAAAAAGCACUUUUUCGAGCAUUAAAAACCAAGAAAGACACUCCAAAAUAUGGUUUAAUUUACCAUGCACAGCUUGUAGGACAAUGUUCUGUCCAGAAUAAAGGAAAAAUGUCUAGAAUGCUUGCAGCAAAAGCUUCUUUAGCAACAAGAGUCGAUGCAUUAGGAGAAGAUGUGAAUUUUGAUCUUGGUACUGAACAUAAAGCUAAAUUAGAAAGUCGAUUAAGAAUACUUGAAGAAGGAAAUUUACAUAAAAUCAGUGGAACUAGUAAAGCAAAAAGUAAAUUUGAAAAAUACCAUUUCAAGAGUGAAGUUGUCCAAUAUCCAGUAGCUGCAGAUACAACUCUUACAAGUAAUAAGAGAAAAUAUUCUGAUAUAGAAGAUAAGACAGUAACUGAAGAAAGUGAAACACAAAUGAGCAAGGAAAUUCCAAAAAAGAAGAAAAAGAAAGAUAUUGAGGAUAUUGAAGGAUCCUCACAAAUACAAAAUGUAGAAAAAGAUGGAAAUGAACAAGAAAUUACAUCCAAGAAAAAAAAUAAAAAAGUCAAGCAGGAAUCCAAGCAGCAUGAAGAAAUAAGUGAAUCUACAAUUGCGAAAAUAGAAGAAGAUACAAAUGUUGUUGCAACCCUAAGUGAACCACAGGAUGAAAGUAAUGUUUCAGAGUCUAAGAAGAAGAAAAAAAAGAAGAAAGAAAAACAUGUUGUGGAAACACAAGGGACUUCUAUUUCAGUAGAAGCAGCAGAGGGUGAAUCAGUUUUGACAGAGAAGAAAAAAAAAAAGAAAAAAAAAGUACAACAAGAUGAAUAACUUUCAUUGAAAGUUUUCUUUAGAUUUAUAUGUGUUUAUAUCUAUAUAAACAGUUUAAAGGAUUGAUCAUUAAUACAUUGGGUGCUCAACACAUUUCAAAUGUGACUCUGGAGGUGUACAAAAGUCCAUAAACACCCCAGGUGAAGUUUAUGACUUGCUUCCAGUUUUUCCCAGGUAAGCAGAGGUAAUGAGGUCUCUGUGAAAACACAUCUACUACAAAUUAGUGACGCGAUACUCAAAGUGUUAAAGGUAUCAUCGUAAUGCAAAUAAGAGUUUGAUUUUAUUUUAUAAAUUAUAAAUAUACUGCAGAAAAAACUUUCCAAUUACACAUUGAAUCGCGAAAAUAAUAUUAUAUGUAUAUAGUUCUUAUUUGAAUGUAUUAAAAAUAAUCGGUUCUAGGCAUAAUUGUAUACGAUACAAUGUAGAAUAAUUUAUAUAAACUUGAUAUGAAAUACUAUUUUAUUACGUAGUUGUUUAAUCAUCAAGUUUAUCAUGUAUUAUCAUUGUAGAAGUUCUGUAAGAUACUGUACACAAUUACAUAUUUGUGAAUUUAUUGUUUACUCUUGCUUCCUAUAUCAAACUAUUUUAAGUCAUAAUUAAAUCAUUUAAACCAUUUAUUCCUUAGCAGAAAACUAUUAUUUUGUAAAGAUUAUGUUCAUUUCUUAUAACUUUUAUUGAAUAAUAAAAGAAUAUUCAAUCGAAAUUAACAUAUAUUGUAUAUUGUAUUAUUGCAAUGAAAUUUACAAAAACUGUUAUGUACAUAAUAAAAGUAAAUCACUUUUAUAUAAUUAAAUUUUGGUUUAUAUCAUUUACAUUAUAUUAUAUUAUAUAAAAAUAUCACUGAAGAAAAUGCUAAUCUAUUAAUUUAUUGAGUAGAUCCUCAUAUGAUUUAAAGGUGUUUUAAAUUGAAUAUCUUAAAAUAAUUAUUUUGUUUUCAAUAAAUUAAUAAAUAUUUUAUAUAACAAGAUACAAUACUAUGUAUAUGUAUUCUUUUAACAUUUGAUAAAAAUUGAUUUUUCAUAUCAUAACUUAAUAUUUAUGGGUUUCAUUUGAAUAAGGAUUGUAGUAAUCACUUUUCAUACAUGAUUUUAACAUAUCUUUAUUGUUAUACACAUACACAAAAAUAAGCUGAUGUUAAAUGUAAAUUUUCAAUGCUAGCAUAAUUGUAUAAUCCAUUUGUAAUAUUUAUAGAGCAAUUCUUAUGCAGGAAAAGUACAAAAUGUUAUAUAGGACAAUAAAAAAGAUAUUCUCAGAAAUCAUUAUAUAAUCACUUAAUAAACUUAUACAAAUGUAUUUUGUACUUUAUUGUAAAUUGGUGUAUGGAUUACUUAUAUUAUUGCAAAAUAACAUAACUUAAUUUUAUUACCAAAUAUUUGGCAAGACACAAAUAUUUUUUACAAUUAUUAAUGAUUUAAACAGUUUUUAUUUAUUAUGUUAGAUAAAUAUAACAAUCUUUAGUUUAUUAACGAACAUAGGUUAUAGAUAUAUUGUCAUCAAAGAAUUGCAUAUUAUUGUAAUUGUUAGAUUUGAAUACUAAUAUACUAAAAAAUAAAAUGCUUGGAAUUAUGAAGAACUAUUAAAGCAUUCUAUAUGCAUACCUACCAGAACCUUUCUAUAUAUACGUAUUCUAUCAAAAUAGAAAUAUUAUUUUCCAAAACAGAUCCACACGUAUUAUUUUGUUACUAUGUUUACAUUUAUUUGAUAAAUGUAUAUAUAUAUAUAUGUUCCAUAUAUAUUACAUGUGUUUUUUUGCAAUAGUAUUUUAUAUCAUAUAAAUCAUAGUUGAAAACUAUUAUUAUAAUUAUUUAGUCAUCAUAAAAUUUAAUUGUUUUAAACAUUAUCAGUUAUUAAAAAAUUUAUGAUUAAGAUUCAUAUGCACACACUUGAACUAUAAGUAUUAUUUUACAUUUUAAUGUAUAUAAAAUUGAUACAUGUAACUCGUAGAUAUAAUUAUUUUUAUAUAGGCUAAAAUAAUAGUCUAUCAUUAAAAAUAUAAUUUCCCCUUAAUCCUUUUCUUUCUUAUAAAAAAAUUAUUAUAGCAAAUUGAUUAUAUAUUGUUUAUUCUCCAACACUUUAUGAUCAGGUAAAUUGAAUUCUCAAAUCGUAUUAUGAAUCUGAGACAACAUUGCUUCGUGCAAUGUUUAAGUUCAUAAAUACAGCUAUUAAAUUCUAAAUAUUUUAAAUGAUUACUUAUUAAUAAUAAUAAAUUUCUAUAAAUUGAUGCAUAGAAAUUUUAUAUUCGUUUAUGAUUUUUAUGCGUAUAUGCUGUUUAAAAAUAUACAUAACCAAAAAUGUAUGUAUAAUAAGUUUCAUGUGUGACACAAAUAUAUAUAUAUAUAUGUAUAUAUAUAUAUUUGAUCUUCUAUUGAUAGGAAUGUGAGUAUUGCAAUCUAGGAUAAGUAAAGAUAUAUACAAAUGAAAUUAUUAUAAUAAAAAAAAUGAAUAUAUAAUGAUUUUUUAAAUCUAUUAUAUAUAUCAUACUAUGGUUAUAUGAAUUUGUAGCAAAUUUAAUUUUAUAUAAAAAUCAGAUCAUCUUAUUGGCUUGCCAAAAACUAAGAUAGUUCAUGAUUAGUGGUGUAAAUAAACAGUAUAAUUUUGAAAUAUUAACAUUUUAUAUUGUAAACUAGAAAAAUGUAUAAGUCUGUAUGUAUAGGUAUAUAUCAAAUUACUUAUGCUUAUUUUUAAAAUAUUGAAUUAUGUGCAUUAUAUGCUGCAACUUUUUAUUCUGAAGAAGAUUAACCAAUUAUAUAUUUUUUUCUAAUUUAUUGUUAAUUAUGGAUUAGAAAUUUUAAGAGCACAAUAUUUAAAAGAUCAAUAACAUGUUUUGGGAUACUAAAAGAAACAAAUUAUGUACUUUAUAAAAUAAAUUGCAUAUUAUUGCAUAUAAUUUUUCAUAAUGGUAUUAAAUUUUAUAUCAUUAAAAUAUCAACACAUUGAUAUGUAAUAUAAAAUGUAAAGAAUAAUGCAAGCAUCUAUUUAUCUGUAAGCAUGUAGAUAGCAGUGCAAAUACAUAUAUACUGCUCUAUUUUGCUGAAUAUUUUGAACUCCACAUGCAAAGUUCAAUGUUAGAAAAAGCAUAAAGUUGUAAUGUUUAAUUUUAUCAUAAAUUAUUAUUUCAAAAUACAUAUAAGAAAUCAAA